rnacentral:rRNA from 1 species
UACCAGCACCCCGAGUGGUCGGGACGUUUAUUGGGCCUAAAGCAUCCGUAGCCGGUUCUACAAGUCUUCCGUUAAAUCCAGCUGCUUAACAGAUGGGCUGCGGAAGAUACUAUGAAGCUAGGAGGCGGGAGAGGCAAGCGGUACUCGAUGGGUAGGGGUAAAAUCCGUUGAUCCAUUGAAGACCACCAGUGGCGAAGGCGGCUUGCCAGAACGCGCUCGGACGGUGAGGGGAUGAAAGCUGGGGGGAGCAAACCGG